GGUGAUCGGCCACACUGGGACUGAGACACGGCCCAGACUCCUACGGGAGGCAGCAGUAGGGAAUUUUCCGCAAUGGACGAAAGUCUGACGGAGCAACGCCGCGUGAGUGAUGAAGGUUUUCGGAUCGUAAAGCUCUGUUGUUAGGGAAGAACAAGUGCCGUUCAAAUAGGGCGGCACCUUGACGGUACCUAACCAGAAAGCCACGGCUAACUACGUGCCAGCAGCCGCGGUAAUACGUAGGUGGCAAGCGUUGUCCGGAAUUAUUGGGCGUAAAGGGCUCGCAGGCGGUUUCUUAAGUCUGAUGUGAAAGCCCCCGGCUCAACCGGGGAGGGUCAUUGGAAACUGGGGAACUUGAGUGCAGAAGAGGAGAGUGGAAUUCCACGUGUAGCGGUGAAAUGCGUAGAGAUGUGGAGGAACACCAGUGGCGAAGGCGACUCUCUGGUCUGUAACUGACGCUGAGGAGCGAAAGCGUGGGGAGCGAACAGGAUUAGAUACCCUGGUAGUCCACGCCGUAAACGAUGAGUGCUAAGUGUUAGGGGGUUUCCGCCCCUUAGUGCUGCAGCUAACGCAUUAAGCACUCCGCCUGGGGAGUACGGUCGCAAGACUGAAACUCAAAGGAAUUGACGGGGGCCCGCACAAGCGGUGGAGCAUGUGGUUUAAUUCGAAGCAACGCGAAGAACCUUACCAGGUCUUGACAUCCUCUGACAAUCCUAGAGAUAGGACGUCCCCUUCGGGGGCAGAGUGACAGGUGGUGCAUGGUUGUCGUCAGCUCGUGUCGUGAGAUGUUGGGUUAAGUCCCGCAACGAGCGCAACCCUUGAUCUUAGUUGCCAGCAUUCAGUUGGGCACUCUAAGGUGACUGCCGGUGACAAACCGGAGGAAGGUGGGGAUGACGUCAAAUCAUCAUGCCCCUUAUGACCUGGGCUACACACGUGCUACAAUGGACAGAACAAAGGGCAGCGAAACCGCGAGGUUAAGCCAAUCCCACAAAUCUGUUCUCA
rnacentral:rRNA from 1 species